CCUACGGGAGGCAGCAGUGGGGAAUUUUGGACAAUGGGGGCAACCCUGAUCCAGCCAUUCCGCGUGAGUGAAGAAGGCCUUCGGGUUGUAAAGCUCUUUCGCAAGGGAAGAAACGUUACGAGCGAAUAACUCGUGAUAAUGACGGUACCUUGAUAAGAAGCACCGGCUAACUACGUGCCAGCAGCCGCGGUAAUACGUAGGGUGCAAGCGUUAAUCGGAAUUACUGGGCGUAAAGCGUGCGCAGGCGGUUUUGUAAGUCAGAUGUGAAAUCCCCGAGCUCAACUUGGGAACUGCGUUUGAAACUACAAGGCUAGAAUAUGUCAGAGGGGGUAGAAUUCCACGUGUAGCAGUGAAAUGCGUAGAGAUGUGGAGGAAUACCAAUGGCGAAGGCAGCCCCCUGGGAUAAUAUUGACGCUCAUGCACGAAAGCGUGGGGAGCAAACAGGAUUAGAUACCCUGGUAGUCCACGCCCUAAACGAUGUCUACUAGUUGUUGGUGGAGUAAAAUCCAUGAGUAACGCAGCUAACGCGUGAAGUAGACCGCCUGGGGAGUACGGUCGCAAGAUUAAAACUCAAAAGAGUAAGUCGGACGUGUAGAGAGACGACGACGACGACGACGGAGGAGGAGG
rnacentral:rRNA from 1 species